CAUGUAGGCGGAUUAAUAAAGUUUGAAGUGAAAUCCUAUAGCUUAACUAUAGAACUGCUUUGAAAACUGUUAAUCUAGAAUGUGGGAGAGGUAGAUGGAAUUUCUGGUGUAGGGGUAAAAUCCGUAGAGAUCAGAAGGAAUACCGAUUGCGAAGGCAGGUCUCUGGGCCGUUACUGACGCUGAGGAGCGAAAGCGUGGGGAGCGAACA
rnacentral:rRNA from 1 species